UCCUACGGGAGGCAGCAGUGGGGAAUAUUGGACAAUGGGCGGAAGCCUGAUCCAGCCAUGCCGCGUGUGUGAAGAAGGCCUUUUGGUUGUAAAGCACUUUAAGCGAGGAGGAGGCUACUUGGAUUAAUACUCUAGGAUAGUGGACGUUACUCGCAGAAUAAGCACCGGCUAACUCUGUGCCAGCAGCCGCGGUAAUACAGAGGGUGCGAGCGUUAAUCGGAUUUACUGGGCGUAAAGCGUGCGUAGGCGGCUUCUUAAGUCGGAUGUGAAAUCCCUGAGCUUAACUUAGGAAUUGCAUUCGAUACUGGGAAGCUAGAGUAUGGGAGAGGAUGGUAGAAUUCCAGGUGUAGCGGUGAAAUGCGUAGAGAUCUGGAGGAAUACCGAUGGCGAAGGCAGCCAUCUGGCCUAAUACUGACGCUGAGGUACGAAAGCAUGGGGAGCAAACAGGAUUAGAUACCCUGGUAGUCCAUGCCGUAAACGAUGUCUACUAGCCGUUGGGGCCUUUGAGGCUUUAGUGGCGCAGCUAACGCGAUAAGUAGA
rnacentral:rRNA from 1 species